GUGCCCGACAGAUCCGCCAGAUCCUCAGAGGGAGCGCCUGUGCCCGACAGAUCCAGACAGAGUGAGAUACUCAGCCUGAGAUAGCGCCUCUGUCUUGUGCUCAGGCGGCUCUUGUUAUUAAAAAGAUCUCCGAGCGGAGAAAUGCUGAAAUCCCUGAGCUGCGGAGGCAGAAUACCCGAAAUGCACCAGAGCCCGAGUCUUCCGCAAAACUGAGGAUCCCGAAGCAGAGGGAGAAUUUGAGGGAUUGGUGGGGGCAUCAGCAGAGGCAGAAGAAAAUCCAAAAGGGAGUGUCUGACAGUGCCGGAGUGGACAGGUCAGCCUUACAAAACAAGCAGCGGAUGGCGAUCGAAGUGAACGACCAACAGUCAGAUCCAGGCAACGCAGACCAAAUGGAUUAUUUAUGUUGCUUAUUUGCAAAAUGUUUUGUCAUUUAAAAUAUUUAAUUUUUAUUUUGUUAAACGUGUGAGUCCUAUAAUAAAAAAAGUAU